UGACACGCGGUGACACACGAUGACGCGCAAUGACACGCAAUAACACGUGAUGACACGCGGUGACACGCGAUGACACACGAUGACAUGUGAUGACACGCAAUAACACGUGAUGACACGCGUGUGCUGCCGCGUGGCCUCGCAGGUGAGAUCAAGAACGGCCGCGUGUCGGGCUGCCACUCGUGGGUGCAGCUGCUGCAGCUGGAGCGCAGCGGGAGCCUGGAUUACCUGAGCUACAGCUACAGUGGGCCGGUGAGCGCGGGGGGGUCACUGCGAUGUUGUGUGGUUGUUGUGUUGUGUGGUUGUGUGGUUGUGUGGUUGUGUGGUUGUGUCACUGCGAUGUGAUGUGGUUGUGUUGUUGUGUUGUUGUGUCACUGCGAUGUGGUGUGGUUGUGUGGUUGUGUGGUUGUGUUGUUGUGUCACUGCGACAUGGUGUGGUUGUGUGGUUGUGUGGUUGUGUGGUUGUGUUGUUGUGUGGUUGUGUGGUUGUGUCACUGCGAUGUGGUGUGGUUGUGUUGUUGUAUCGUUGUGUGGUUGUGUCGUUGUGUUGUGUUGUGUGGUUGUGUGGUUGUGUUGUUGUGUCACUGCGAUGUGUGGUUGUGUCAUUGUGUGGUUGUGUUGUUGUGUUGUGUGGUUGUGUCGUGUCACUGCGAUGUG
rnacentral:lncRNA from 1 species